CACCAAGAAGCUUUUAUAGCACUAGCCUUUUAAGCUAGAGAGGGGGACUAAAGCGCCCCCUUGGUGA
rnacentral:tRNA from 1 species